AAAUCUACUCUUUCAUGGAGUUAUUUUAUUUUUAGUCCAAAGUUAGUUCCAGAUGCAUGUGUUUAGAGAAUAAAUUAAGUAAAUAGAGUACUCUGUGUUCACUGAAGCUACAUGCUGUAUAAGUAAGAGAUCAUUAACACAUCAUUACAUGUGUUAAUUACACAUGCUAAAUUAUGGAUCAGAUCUGAGGAGGAAAAUUUUCGCAAAAGUUACAUAAAGCCAUGAUAAAUUUCUCAAGUGGUAUCCUAGGUGAAAUUGUACACAGAGAGAUGCAUUUUCUGCCUGAAUAUUGAACUCAGUAAAUUUAUAACUCUAGAAUCUUCUAAAGUUUUCCUAAGAGGGAAUAAUACCAAUAUUUCUAGGCUACCAGUGUAAGUACAAAAAUAUUAACUUGAUAAUUUGUGUUUUGAUCUGAAAUAGUUAAUAUCUUCACUCAAUGUUUGGAAGACAUUUCUGGUUGUUGUUUUAUCUUGUCGUAUACUUUUUAUCAUUACUACUAUUUUAAUUAUACAUAGUACAAUCUCAUUGUACACAUUUUAUGAAA
rnacentral:lncRNA from 1 species